rnacentral:rRNA from 1 species
AUUGAACGCUGGCGGAAUGCUUUACACAUGCAAGUCGAGCGGCAGCGCGGGGCAACCUGGCGGCGAGCGGCGAACGGGUGAGUAAUACAUCGGAACGUGCCCAGACGUGGGGGAUAACUACUCGAAAGAGUGGCUAAUACCGCAUACGAUCUACGGAUGAAAGCGGGGGAUCGCAAGACCUCGCGCGUCUGGAGCGGCUGAUGGCAGAUUAGGUAGUUGGUGGGAUAAAAGCCUACCAAGCCAACGAUCUGUAGCUGGUCUGAGAGGAUGAUCAGCCACACUGGGACUGAGACACGGCCCAGACUCCUACGGGAGGCAGCAGUGGGGAAUUUUGGACAAUGGGGGGAACCCUGAUCCAGCAACGCCGCGUGAAUGAAGAAGGCCUUAGGGUUGUAAAGUUCUUUUGUCUGGGAGCAAAGGUUGUAUGUUAAUAGUAUACAAAGAUGAGAGUACCAGAAGAAUAAGCACCGGCUAACUACGUGCCAGC